GAAGGAAAACAUAAAUGCUUGGUUCUGCCACCUUUUUCUACACAUCUUAGUCCCCCUGAGGUAAAAUAACCUUUAACUUUUAAGUCAAAUAUUUCUACAUCAAUAUUGCUUAGUAAAAAAAACUAUUGGAUAGUUUUGAUAACGUAAUUGCGGUAAAAGCUGUGAAACCGAAUAGACUUGCACAUUCGGAUUUGUACGAAAUUAAAUUUUACGUACGAAUCUCAUGAAAGGAGGCGGGGGCCCCAACUUCUUUUGCAUCUUCUUAUUCUGUCUUCUUUAUUCGCAGGUAUUUGAGAUAAUGGACGGAUGUCUAAAGGCUAAUAGUAUUUGCAUAGAUUGUAGAGAAGGGAAUGUUGCAUAGCCCAUCUGAAUAGAUAA